rnacentral:rRNA from 1 species
UACGAAGGGGGCUAGCGUUGCUCGGAAUCACUGGGCGUAAAGAGAGUGUAGGCGGGAUCGUAUGUCGGGUGUGAAAGCCCUCGGCUCAACCGAGGAAGUGCGCCCGAAACUGCGGUUCUUGAGUGUCGGAGAGGGUGGCGGAAUUCCCGGUGUAGAGGUGAAAUUCGUAGAUAUCGGGAGGAACACCAGAGGCGAAGGCGGCCACCUGGACGAACACUGACGCUGAGACUCGAAAGCGUGGGGAGCAAACAGGG